GGCAGAGCCUGGAUGGGAACCUGGGUUGUUCUGAAUCGCGGAUCUGUGCUUAACCGACAGAUGGAGACCCCUGCCCUCCUCCCCAGCUGAGAAUGGUCGGGACCCCACGGCAUGACAUGUCCCGAGUGACUGGGCCCCCGCUGGAUGUGGGGUGAGCUCAUCGGGCUGGAAGCUUCGGGCUGACGUCAUGACUGGGCACAGAAGCCUCUGCUUUCUCUGUAAUUACAGCUGGGCGGGGCCGGCUGAGUUGGAAACCAGUUGUGGGGAGAAUCACUGCGUGCCGCAUGACGCACCAGAGAAACCUGGCCCUGCCUGGGACCUGGGCAGGGGCUGGGACUCCCCUACGAUGACACUGAUGGAAUUUCCAGCUCACUUGGCUCCAUACAGCAGGAACCUUGGAUGUCCUGUUCAUAGUGGCAUCCGCAGCACCUAGAGGGUACCUGCUGCACUGUAGAAGCCCAGCAUAUCUUGGAUGAGUAGAUGAUGUCAUAUCAGCAACCCUGGGUCUGAAUUGCCUAGCUCCCACUGGGUAGACUCUACAUGCGGUAACAGCAUCAGAAUAUUAACUAAUAUUUCUGCAGUCCAUAGAAGGUGCCAGGCACCAAGGCUUCCCAAGCAUGCUCUUUUUAAUUUUCAUCACAGUCCCCUGGAGAUUUUAUGCUAUCAUUAUUCCCUUUUUACAGAUAAGGAAACUGAGGCGCAAGACAGGAAGUGACCUGCCUGAGGCCUCCAGCUUAUGGAUUCUGAACUUAGGUUUGUCUAAACUUCAAGCCCAGGCCUCUUUUCUCUGCCGCACACCCCAG
rnacentral:lncRNA from 1 species